AACGCCGUUUUGUUCUUCUGUGCAAAAGUAAUAAUACUCUGAAUGUGCUUAAUAUGCGAGCAGAAAAUAAUCAUAGUAUAUAAGCUAAAGUUCCUGGAGUCCAAGGACCUGACUCUUUUCUUUUGUGCAAGACCAGAAGUGAGCAAUUUACACUCAUGAUUCAACAUAAGAUGGGAUUAAUGUAAACAUACCAAUAAGGACCAAUGGUGCUUCAAUGUUGUGUUGUGGCUUCAUCGGUGGCCAACAUGUUAAACGGAGCAACGGCUUGAGUGCCACCAUGAACGACAACUACAGGGAUCAAAUUUCCAUUGAUGUGUGGAGGCGACGGAUUCAGCGUGUAUGCUCCUUUGUCUAAACCCUACUAGCUGCCGCCAUCUGGAGUUUCAACAUCACCGUCAUCCACCAGCAUGAACAUUUCCAUGGAUCCAUUUCCUCGCUGCAUGCCAUGGCGGUAGAAAAUGAUGAAUGGUGGAAGCCAUAACAUUCCAUCCUUUCGAACCCUUCCUCUUCUUGGCUCAGCAUCCACCGAAGAUGUCCUAGAGGUCUGGAGCUUUCUCGGAAAUUGUUAUAUUGCAGUUAAAUAUGCUACCUGGUGUAGUACUGCCAAAGGAAGAAUACACAUCACAGCCCCUGAACAUAGGAGUACAAAUAGUAAAGCUAGCAGGUAAGAAAUGUAUAAAACUACAUGGGCUAAGAAACAGAGUUAUAUAAUUGAUAGUUUAAACGUGCCCCGUUUUCAAGGAUCAUAUAAGUGAAUCCUAUAGAAGGACCAAGAGAUACGAAUAUUCCAGUAGCACAGCAACCGAUUAUUUUCUUCCUAGCACACAUGGACAAUUCGGACGGGAUGAUCUAUGGCUACAAUUCAGAAAACUGAAUGGAUACAUACGAUUACUAACAAAAACAACAAUCAUCAUAUUUAAACAAUAUGAUUGUCUCUGAGGAGAUCAAAAUAACAGUAAAUUACUCUUUAAUAAUACUGAAGAUUCAACCAAUGCCUCAAGGAUUUUAAGAUGACUUGAUGAAUGAGCAUCUCCUUGACUUCGGGCCACGGUGCUAAUCUUAUAUGCUAGAAAUCAAAUUGUUGUAUUCAAGGGAAGGGAAAAUUAAAAUUUCAGUUAUGUCAGUCGAUUAUCAAUGAAAAGAAAGAAAGAGACACAUGCUGACAUGUCUCUUUGAUACCUUAUUCUAUAUAUACCUAGAUCAUACAACAUCUUAUUGAUAACAUAACCGGCGCUGAAGACACAAAGCCACUAUUUAGUAACGCAAAUCAGGUUUCAGCAUGUCACUAAGCAAUUGUAUCACAUAAAGGCAUCGAGCAAUCAAAUCUAUAGAAACCAAUUAUCCGCUUCUCUUGCUUAAUGGGUCGUCAAGGUUGUCGUAAUUUGUCAGAUUCAUUAAUUUUAAUAAAUUUUGUUUUUUAUUAAUUCAAAUCAACAUGAGGCUCCUCGAUGUUGAUGUUGUUUGUUUAGAUGUCAUAUUUAAUUUAUAAGCUAAUCAGAUGUGCAUAUAGUUGCGCUCAAACAUGAUAGAGAUAAGGAGCUUUCUACGUUGCAAUUUAGCCUGCUAACUAAAGAAUCCAUCAGUCUACGUCGACCAUCUCUGAUAUUGUGUUCCACGGGCUAAAUCACCAACAUAAGUAACGGCGAUGUUGGGGCCAUUAGCAGUGGUGGACGAUGACGACUACUAUAGGGUGUUUAGAAACAUGUGAGAGAGAUUGAGAAUCCAAAAGCUGUAUGCGAGAAGAUUCGAGAUUCAAUCAGUGGAGAGAACAAAUUUCUUUGAAUCUGAAUCCAAAUCAAAAGGAAUAGUUGCAGUAGAACAAUCAAGAAAACAAAUCUUGAAAAAACCAUGUGAGAAAACGGACCUGAUCCAAAG
rnacentral:lncRNA from 1 species